UACGGGGGGAGCAAGCGUUGUUCGGAUUUACUGGGCGUAAAGGGCGCGUAGGCGGUCAGCACAAGUCAGUUGUGAAAUCUCCGGGCUUAACUCGGAAAGGUCAACUGAUACUGUGCGACUAGAGUGCAGAAGGGGCAACUGGAAUUCUCGGUGUAGCGGUGAAAUGCGUAGAUAUCGAGAGGAACACCUGCGGCGAAGGCGGGUUGCUGGGCUGACACUGACGCUGAUGCGCGAAAGCCAGGGAGCAAACGGG
rnacentral:rRNA from 1 species